AAAAAGAUAAGCUAAAUAAGCUACUAGGUUCAUACCCUAUUUAUGAGAGCCCCCCCUUUCUCUUUUUA
rnacentral:tRNA from 1 species